GGAGUUCAAGGGCCCUGCAGAUCCUUCACAUCAAACCCACAGAAGAGGCAAAUUUGCUGCCAGUACAGAUAAUCUGAUGGAAAAUUGCAGUUAAUGGCACAUGCCCUGUUCCUGAAUUGGUCCUUUGAUCGUUAGAAGUGUUUUCCUUUCAAGUGUGAGAACAGACUCUCAUCUGUAAUCAUAACACAUAGUAUCAUUAUAGUUAGCUUAUGAGCAUCAAGGUGCCAGUUGAAAUGUAAUGAAUGAAAUGUGAUGGAAACUGAGGGGGGUUUUUUUUGAGUGGUUGAUGGCAUGUUGCCCUGUGGCUCAAUCCCCAUUCUGUUCAGUGGAGUCUUCAGUCUAGGACUUUAUGUAAAAAAGUUUCUCCUUCCAAUAAAGAACUAGUCAUUCAUAAGAUAGAGGUAUAGCCUUGGAAAGUCGCUUAGGUACAUGAUCAGAAUUAAAGCCAAAUUUCACUUAAUGUUGCUGCUGUUGGUCUUCACUUUCAUUAAUUUCCCCACCGCUCCUCACAAAUCAUACUUUUUUACAGUCUCUAACACAAUUUUAUUUUUUUCCCCCCUGCAAAAGACUGUCUGCUGUCUUCCUGUGAGUGAAAUGAAGCUGUUUUGUUUUCUCCCUUGUUUCUGGUCCAAAUAUUUCUGAAGCUGCUGUUGUGGGUUUGCAUUUUCAUAGAGUUCUAGUUAGAGAUUACUUCUACUGUGGCAAAGUGUCAAGCUGGAUGUCAUCUGCCCCCAUUUCACCAUGGUCGCCCUUUCUUGUGCCAUGAAAGUAUAAGAGGGAUGGAAGGAAUCCAGAACGGUCUACAAGUACAAGUAGCACUUGAAAACCUCACUGAGACCCUAGCAUCUGUACUAAAGCAGUCAAGGUCAAAGAGGAGACAUGGACAGAAUAGGACAAAUCAGCAUCGCUUCCACGUGUUUUUCAGGCUUUCCCAAGAAGCGUUAGCAGCCUUGUAACUAGGGACAGUGAGUCCGGAUGUGUUCUCGUUUUUACAGUUUUACACUCCUGAUGUCACUGACCCAUGCAGCAGCAGCAGCGCAAGGGCCGUGGCUGUCGCGGCGCGUCCGUCAGCCGUAGCUUCUGGUGGCGGUGCAGCCUCGUCCUGCACCUCGCAGGGCUCCCUCCCUGCAGCCCUGCUGUAAGGACGGGACGAGAUGUUGCGACAGCAGCAAGAGCGUUUGCUUUUAUGGGCAGGAUGUGCUCAGGGUCGUAUGGCCUGGGCUUGUGGGUGAUUUUGAGGGGUUGAAAUCGCUCCGGCCUUGCCAGGGUGUGUUGUCUGUGGAGCUGGCCUGUUCACACAGAGUCCUCCCCGAGCUCCACUGCCAUUCUGACCCUUAUUCUGACAGAAAUUCUUCUGUUGUAUGUUUUCAAGAUGGAAUAGGAUUUGGGGCUUUUGUUUUUCAGAUGUGUUGCUGUAUCUUGUGAUGUCCCCCUGGGCCAGGUUUGCCUGCUGGCUGUUAACGCCGUGACAGCAGGGCCCGCCCUUGUGUUGCUGCCACAGCACAAAAAUACCCCCAAAUCCCUGAUUCUGGGUCUGCUGUAAAAGGAAUAAGCUUUAGAAAACACUUUUCUCUUAGGAUAUUGUUAAUAGAAGGAAUAAUUAAUAAAUAUUGUUUUAUAGGCUUAAUUAAUAGAGCACAGGUGCUCUAGGAACAAUACUGACAAUACUUAGAAAGGCUAGGUAAUGAAAAGCUAGACAUAGAUUAAGUGUAUGUUAAAUAGAACGUUUUAAGUCUUUUCUCAAAGGCUAAAAGUGAAUUAUGAUGAAGAUUAUUCAGAAGAUACUGAGACAGGGACCAUGAUGACCAAAGACUGCAUCAGUGAGCAGUGGUGUCUGAAGAGGCAUUGGAACGGAACGAUAAGAACUAGUUGAAACUGUGGAAUACGGUGGACUUUUGACAUUGAUGAUGAAUUGAGAGCUGAAAGUUCCUGGAAAAUCACCAAAGGCUCUUUGUAUUGUAUGUUAUAUCAUUUAUAGAGAGGUUGCUUUUUGUUAGCUGUGGCCACUCCCUGAGGAGAUGGCCCAACUCCGAAUUGUUAAUAAAGCCAGCCUAGAG